AAUGCCAGAAACACCUGCUCGGCUCCGGGGAAAAACCUACAGGGAAACUGUCAUAGAAAUGAAGGUUAAACGGCCUUUCUUGCCAGACCUUACCUCGCCACUUUAGAACUUCUGCUUCUGCCACAAUUCCACCUUGCCAACCCGGCUCAGACGAAAGGCCUACAUCUUCCCCUUGAGCAAUGGGGAUGAGGCCCGGAUGAUUGUGGUUCCACAUGCUGAGGAGGAGAGAGACAAUAGGCUUUUAACUAACCACCAAGUGCAAUGGUUGAGAGAGUGUCAGAAAGCACCAAUGGCAGAAAGACCCCUUUACUCUCAGCAGUGCCCUCCAUUGCUCUAGAGCAGGAAGGCACAAAGGACUGCCUCAAUCCUUCAAUGGGAAACAAGCCAUAAACUGUCUUGCCUCCAGCUCUUUAGGAAGCUGAGAAAGAACUCGCUUUCCACAGUGCUGUUACAGCAUACGAGGAAACUGUCAUACAAAGGCAGCUCAUACACCAUUUCUUCCCAGCGCCUAACUCGCUGCUUUAGGACUUCUGAUUCUGCCACAGUUCCACCUUGCCUACCAGGCUCAGACGAAAUGUCUACAUCUUCCCAUUCAGAAAGCGGGCGGAGACCCAGAUGAGUGUGCUUCCACAUGCUUAGCAGGAGCAGAAAAUAGGCUUUUUACAAACCGCCAUUGUGCACGGGUGCAGAGAGUGUCAGAAUGCACCUAUGUAAGAAGGGCCCUUUGCUCUCAGCCGUGCCCUCCAUUGCUGUAGAGGUGGAAGGCACAAAGCACUGCCUCCAUCCUUCAAUGGGAGACAAGCCAUAAACUGUCUUGCCUCCAGCUCUUUAGGAAGCUGACAAACAACUCGCUUGCCACAGUCCUGUUACAGCAGACUGGGAACUUCUCAUACAAAGGCAGCUCAAAUGGCAUUUCUUCCCAGCCCUUAACUCGCAGCUUUAGAACUUCUGCUUCUGCUGCAAUUCCACCUUGCCAACCCAGCUCAGGCAAAAUGCCUACAUCUUCCCCUCUAGCAACUGGGCUGAGUCCCAAAUGAUUGUGCAACCAUGUGUUUAGCAGGAGAGAGACAAUACGCUUUUCACCAACCACAGUUGACCACUGGUGGAGAGAGUGUCAGAAAACACCUAUGUCAGAAAGGCCCCUUUGCUCUCAGCCAUGCCCUCCCUUGCUCUAGAGGUGGAAGGCACAAGGCACUGGUUCUGGAUCCACCCCUCAAUGGGCGACAUACCACAUCUUGUCCUGCUUCCAGGUGUUUAGAAGUGGAGAAAAAACUCCCUUUCCACAGUGCUCUUACAGCGUCCUGGGAACAUCUCAUACCACGGACGCUGAACGCUGUUUGUUUUCAG
rnacentral:lncRNA from 1 species